GUGGGGAAUAUUGGACAAUGGGCGCAAGCCUGAUCCAGCAAUGCCGCGUGCAGGAAGAAGGCCUUCGGGUUGUAAACUGCUUUUGUACGGAACGAAACGGUCCGGGUUAAUACCCUGGGCUAAUGACGGUACCGUAAGAAUAAGCACCGGCUAACUACGUGCCAGCAGCCGCGGUAAUACGAAGGGUGCAAGCGUUAAUCGGAAUUACUGGGCGUAAAGCGUGCGCAGGCGGUUUUGUAAGACAGAGGUGAAAUCCCCGGGCUCAACCUGGGAACUGCCUUUGUGACUGCAAGGCUAGAGUACGGCAGAGGGGGAUGGAAUUCCGCGUGUAGCAGUGAAAUGCGUAGAUAUGCGGAGGAACACCGAUGGCGAAGGCAAUCCCCUGGGCCUGUACUGACGCUCAUGCACGAAAGCGUGGGGAGCAAACAGGAUUAGAUACCCUUGUAGUCC
rnacentral:rRNA from 1 species